AGCAGCCGCGGUAAUACGAAGGGUGCAAGCGUUACUCGGAAUUACUGGGCGUAAAGCGUGCGUAGGUGGUUCGUUAAGUCUGAUGUGAAAGCCCUGGGCUCAACCUGGGAACUGCAUUGGAUACUGGCGAUCUGGAGUGCGGUAGAGGGUGGCGGAAUUCCCGGUGUAGCAGUGAAAUGCGUAGAUAUCGGGAGGAACAUCCGUGGCGAAGGCGGCCACCUGGACCAGCACUGACACUGAGGCACGAAAGCGUGGGGAGCAAACAGG
rnacentral:rRNA from 1 species